rnacentral:ncRNA from 1 species
AAACAGGCUUUGACCGGGAGGAGUACGCGGAGACCCGGACCUGAGAGAGACGCCGGCUGGUGAGAGGCGUCCGAAGGUCCCGCGGAAGGCGCCCGUAAGCCGUGGGGAGGAAAUGCCCCGCCGGUCCCCCACCGUUACCGGGUUCGAGUGCGGAGCGGUUAUGCUCCGAAUUCAGGUGGCACCACGGAGUUUUCAUCCGCCCUGAGC